GUGAAUCUCUUUCUCUUCUCCAGGUCUGUGAUGUGAGUUGAGAUGUCCUAUCUGCAAGUUCCCCCCAGGCACGGAUGGUUUGAGCCAGCGCAAAUAACUCCAGUACUGCACAUGAUGUUAAUGGCCCCUCAAGAGGCUCAGCACCACUCAACGCCCUUUUAAUCUCCUGGCGAAUAUACAGGAACAGAAGAGCUUGGAGAAAGCAUGGACAUUAUCACAUUGUAGAGCAGCUCCUCAAAACCAGGUUCCGAAAAGCACUUAAGCCUUCUAUGUGCUGUUCCAAAAGAGAUUUUUUUUAACCUUAGGUUAACUAGUAGGUCAGAACAGUAACGUGCACUUCAGUAAACUGAAGGUGUCCUGUUACUGCUCUAGGUUUUAUUUUGGAGCAGUGCACGCACUUGAGUAAUAUAAAAAUUCAAAGUUAUUUCUUUCAUGCUGAGCUUAGCUUGACACAGAAGGGAUAGCAAGAUGAAAGGACACAGCGUUUUAAAUCUGAUCUGCAUUCCCUUAUUUUUGGAUGGAACCCAAAGAAAAUAUGACAGUCAAACCUUGUGAUCAACCACACCACAACAGACCCCUUUCUGUGGUAAACAAGCCAGUUUUUGUGUCUCACCUAUUCAAGAGCAGGAUCUAAAACACUUUGUAGGCUCUGUUUGCAGGCUGAUGACCGCUGGAGGAACUAAAUAAUCUUCAUGAAAAUCUGGAUAUGUUUGCCAUGCAGAUGCACUGUCCUGUUCAUCCUACAGCCCUCUGAGCAGAGCCUGUAGACAUAUUCACACAAGUUGUCUCUGUGCAAAGCUCUGCUGAGAAGCCAGGGAACAUCCUGGAUGUAGAGGCAGGAAUUGCUGUGCAAGGCCAACUGGAGAGCUAACUGAGGUCUCCUGGCUCUCUUUUAAUCUGUCCUCCAGCAAAGUACCGUGUAUUGGAGAUGUGAGAGACUCUCGCACCUGGAGAACCAAAAGACACAAACAAGCACCUGUUAUUUGAAGAAAUACCUUUAGCAGUGAUGCCCUGGUCUUGUUACACUCCAGGUAUUGACAGUCCUGUUGUAAGCCCUGGUGAAUGUGGAUUGGCUGCUGGCUUAUUGUUAUUUGCAGACUGACCUCAACCAAGGCCUUCCAGUUGGACUAUGGGCUUGCUGGGCUGUGCAUGUUCUAGGAAUUCUAGUCACGCUUGUUCAGACUUGCAGGCUGGUGCCCUAAUUCUGCAAAGCCCUUGGAAAAUGGUUAUGCCCUGCUGAAGUCAGUGUAAUUUCCUGUUCUUUGAAGGAUGUCUUGAGCACAAGUGUACCUUGAAGCAUACCUUUACUGCAUAGGGAUGUGAAGAAAUGAAGCACUUCCAGUGAAUGCUUAGCUAUGAUCCAAAUGACUCUAUUGUGAGCAGUCAGAAGAUAGUUCACAACUGUAAAACUCCAAGAGCCCUGCUGUCUGUGUGGGGCAAUAAGAGCUUCUCUUGUGUCUGAGUGUAGGAACAGCUCACAGCCUCAUGCAUGGGGCUUAUGCCACUGCCACAAUACCUUCCUGUGUUCAAGUCCUUGAAACAUGCUCAGUGGAAAGCUGGGUUUUGUAGGUGCUCAUCUGGUGAUCUUGUCUCUUCUGGCUUUCAUUCUCUUCUUAUGUGAAUCACUCAUGGAUGUUCCUGGAGUCGAGUUGUUGAGGUUUUGGACAAAAGAAAGGACACUGAUGUCCACGUUGACCCUCCAACAAUAUAAAAACAGCCAGUGUAGAAUGCUUAACCCAAGAGCAACUCUCAACCCAAUUUAGUGCAGCCUGAUUCCAGGGAGAAGAAACAUAAUUAUUAUACAAAGAAAUAAAAGGAUGUUUUGCUGAACUUUGAAAGCUUUGGCCUCAGAGAAGAAUGCUCUAUUUAUAACAGCAGGGCUGUAUAUUUUUAAAAGCCUACAGACACACGUGUGUUGAGGAGUCAGAGAUGCUCUUUGACUCCGGUGUCUUUUUAGACCUCUGCUGGAUUAGUGAAGAUAUAAUUUGCAACAUGACCCCGAGAAUCAAAAGUCUCUUUUUAUUAAAAACUUCGGAAAUGACCUCACUGGGGAGCCUGAACUGAUGAAUGCAUAGAUAAGAAAUCCUCUACUGAAGCUCCUUUUGAGAAUUAAUGCACAGAACAGAUGAGAAUGUGGACUUAUUUGGGAUAAAACUCAUUCAUUAAGCCAUGCAACUAGAGAGCUAGAAAGAAACGGGUAAUAGAUGAAGACUUGAGAAAUAUGAAUAGCAUUAGUCCAGGAUCUGCCUAAAUUAGCACAAAUGAGCAAAUUGUUUCAGCACAUGCUUAAGUGAAUUCUUAAGCAUUUUUAUGGUUUUACCAAAUGUAGGUCCAAAAGCUCCCAUUCCAGUCAUGCGGUUAUAGUCCCUCCUUAUGUUUGCCAGAGACCUCCACCUCCUGGUUCUGGCUUCUCCUGUUUAGCUGUGUAAUGUAUAGUGGUGAAACGCAGCUUUGGGUGCUGGGGAUCUCACUGUUGAUUAUUUUCACGCUUGGUGCCACUGGGGUCAAAACAACUAAAAGUCAAUACUCAAAAUGAUCGCUCUGAGUUUUCCCUCCCUUCCUCCCCUCCUUUGCUGCUCUGUGGUUUGAGUUGUUUGGUGGCAUAGGAGAGUUGCUGAUUCAUUGGUUUUCUUCUGCAGCUGUACCUGACUUAAUUAAAGCAACCAGGUGGACAGACCUCAGCUCAGAGGAGGGACAGUGUUUUCCUUGGCCCCAUUGAAACCACAUGUUUGUUAGCACUGACAGAUUUAGCUGUGACCUGUUGUGCCCAUGGCACCGUGGUUUGCUGGAAGAAAACCUCGAAGUGCCACAGAAGAAGGGCUGGGUGAUGUUUGCACAAAGCUGGUGUCUGCAAAAGCAAAUACAAGUUUGUGACCAUUUAUUUGAAUAAAAAGAGUGAGCCACUGUGGUAAAAG
rnacentral:lncRNA from 7 species